rnacentral:rRNA from 1 species
UCAGUUAUCGUUUAUUUGAUAGUACCUUACUACAUGGAUAACCGUGGUAAUUCUAGAGCUAAUACAUGCUAAAAACCUCAACUUCGGAAGGGGUGUAUUUAUUAGAUAAAAAACCAGCGCCCUUCGGGGCUCCUUGGUGAUUCAUAAUAACUAAACGAAUCGCAUGGCCUUGCGCCGGCGAUGGUUCAUUCAAAUUUCUGCCCUAUCAACUUUCGAUGGUAGGAUAGUGGCCUACCAUGGUAUCAACGGGUAACGGGGAAUUAGGGUUCUAUUCCGGAGAGGGAGCCUGAGAAACGCUACCACAUCCAAGGAAGGCAGCAGGCGCGCAAAUUACCCAAUCCCGACACGGGGAGGUAGUGACAAUAAAUACUGAUACAGGGCUCUUUUGGGUCUUGUAAUUGGAAUGAGUACAAUUUAAAUCCCUUAACGAGGAACAAUUGGAGGGCAAGUCUGGUGCCAGCAGCCGCGGUAAUUCCAGCUCCAAUAGCGUAUAUUAAAGUUGUUGCAGUUAAAAAGCUCGUAGUUGAACCUUGGGCCUGGCUGGCCGGUCCGCCUCACCGCGUGUACUGGUCCGGCCGGGCCUUUCCUUCUGGGGAGCCGCAUGCCCUUCACUGGGCGUGUCGGGGAACCAGGACUUUUACUUUGAAAAAUUAGAGUGUUCAAAGCAGGCCUUGCUCGAAUACAUUAGCAUGGAAUAAUAGAAUAGGACGUGUGGUUCUAUUUUGUUGGUUUCUAGGACCGCCGUAAUGAUUAAUAGGGAUAGUCGGGGGCGUCAGUAUUCAAUUGUCAGAGGGAAAUUCUUGGAUUUAUUGAAGACUAACUACUGCGAAAGCAUUCGCCAAGGAUGUUUUCAUUAAUCAGUGAACGAAAGUUAGGGGAUCGAAGACGAUCAGAUACCGUCGUAGUCUUAACCAUAAACUAUGCCGACUAGGGAUCGGGCGAUGUUAUUAUUUUGACUCGCUCGGCACCUUACGAGAA